GAUGAACGCUGGCGGCGUGCCUAAUACAUGCAAGUCGAGCGAACAGACGAGGCGCUUGCUCCUUUGACGUUAGCGGCGGACGGGUGUGUAACACGUGGAUAACCUCCCUAUAUUACUGGGAUAACUUCGGGAAACCGGCGCUAAUCCCGGAUAAUCUCUUGAACCGCAUGGUUCAAUAGUGAAAGUCGGUGUUGCUGGCACUUAUAGAUGGAUAUUCGCGGCAUUGGCUAGUUGGUAAGGUAACGGGUUACCAAGGGAACGAUGCGUAUCCGAGGGGUGGGGGUGAUAGGCGACACUGGAACGGGAACACGGACCAGAGUCCUACGGGAGGCAGCAGUAGGGAAUCGGCCGCAAUGGGCGAAAGCCUGACGCAGCAACGCCGCGUGAGUGACGAAGGUCUUGGGUUCGUAAAACUCGGUUAUUAGUGAAGAACAAAUGUGUAAGGAACUAUGCACGUCGUGACGGUACCUAAUCAGGAAGCCACGGCUAACUACGUG
rnacentral:rRNA from 1 species